GGGGUUAUAGUUUAUUAAAAACAUUUAAUUUGCAAUUAUAAAAAACUCAAAGUUUUCCUCA
rnacentral:tRNA from 1 species